rnacentral:misc_RNA from 1 species
GAUGAAGAACGCAGCAAAAUGCGAUAAGUAAUGUGAAUUGCAGAAUUCAGUGAAUCAUCGAAUCUUUGAACGCACAUUGCGCCCGCUGGUAUUCCGGCGGGCAUGCCUGUUCGAGCGUCAUUUCAACCCUCAAGCCCCCGGGUUUGGUGUUGGGGAUCGGCUCUGCCCUUCUGGGCGGUGCCGCCCCCGAAAUACAUUGGCGGUCUCGCUGCAGCCUCCAUUGCGUAGUAGCUAACACCUCGCAACUGGAACGCGGCGCGGCCAUGCCGUAAAACCCCAACUUCUGAAUGUUGACCUCGGAUCAGGUAGGAAUACCCGCUGAACUUUAGCAUAUCAAUAAGCGGAGGA